CCUACGGGCGACAGCAGUGAGGAAUAUUGGUCAAUGGACGCAAGUCUGAACCAGCCAUGCCGCGUGAAGGAAGACGGCUCUAUGGGUUGUAAACUGCUUUUGUACGAGGGUAAACGCAUAUACGCGUAUCUGUCUGAAAGUACCGUACGAAUAAGGAUCGGCUAACUCCGUGCCAGCAGCCGCGGUAAUACGGAGGAUUCAAGCGUUAUCCGGAUUUAUUGGGGUUAAAGGGUGCGUAGGCGGUAGGAUAAGUUAGAUGUGAAAUCCCGAGGCUCAACUUCGGAAUUGCCUAUGAUACUGUUAGGCUAGAGUGUAGUAGCGGUAGGCGGAAUGUAUGGUGUAGCGGUGAAAUGCUUAGAGAUCAUACAGAACACCGAUUGCGAAGGCAGGUUACUAGGCUACUUCUGACGUUGAGGCACGAAAGCGUGGGGAGCAAACAGGAUUAGAUACCCCUGUAGUC
rnacentral:rRNA from 1 species